rnacentral:rRNA from 1 species
UACGAAGGGGGCUAGCGUUGCUCGGAAUUACUGGGCGUAAAGGGCGCGUAGGCGGACAGUUUAGUCAGAGGUGAAAGCCCAGGGCUCAACCCUGGAAUUGCCUUUGAUACUGGCUGUCUUGAGUGCCGGAGAGGAUAGCGGAACACCCGGUGUAGAGGUGAAAUUCGUAGAUAUCGGGUAGAACACCAGUGGCGAAGGCGGCUAUCUGGACGGACACUGACGCUGAGACGCGAAAGCGUGGGGAGCAAACAGG